rnacentral:tRNA from 1 species
GGGCCGGUAGCUCAGCCAGGUCAGAGCGACAGUCUUAUAAACUGUAGGUCCGGAGUUCAAAUCUCCGCCGGCCCA